rnacentral:misc_RNA from 1 species
GUAACUUCAUAAAAACAAUACUUUUUCCUUUGUGUUUGUGUUUUAAUGCGCAAUUCAACACGAGUAAAGAGAACAAAGUGAAGAAGAAAAAGUGAGAUUAAAGUGAGGCCGAGUAUACCUGCCAAGUCGUCAAAGAAUCUGGACCAUUUGUCAAAUUUCAGCUAGAGUGGCACUUGCCAAAGCACAGUACAAAUCGCAUGCAUGAUAUACUCAACAAGCCAGGAGCUAUCAACACCCUUCACCUGACAAUCCCAAAGUUACAGGAGUCUGAUAGUGGAAAGUACCGUUGUGUUGCCAGAGGUCUAUUACUACCAUCAAAAUUUUUAAAAUGAUUUCAUCCGUUUCCAAAAAUACUCUUCAUCUUUCAUCAGCACAGAGACUUUGGUUACCGAGACUUUUUGUUGGGAAAUCAUUUGUUAGAUUUUUGGGUGGACCAUCUAUUAUUCAAAAACCUAUUGCUCAGCCAAUUAAUUUGGCAAAUGAACCUAUUUUAGGUUAUUUGAAAAGCAGCGAAGAAAGAGUUGCCUUGGAAAAUGCAUUACAACAUAGGCAAUCUGCUGUUGAAGAAAUUCCAAUUGUUAUUGAUGGCAAAGAAUAUUGGACUGAUGAUGUUCAUUUAUCAGACAAUGCCCUCUAACCAUCAGAAAAAGAUCGCGAUAUUCUGCUAUGGUUCUCCCGUAUUUUACUUUUUUUUUAAAAGGGGUUAUUUUUGUUUCUUAAUUUUUUAUUUCCAUGGAAUUAGGAACUACUACAAAAAGCUUUUGGCGUUUCAUUGAAAGCCAGAAGCGCGUGGGAGAAGGUUCCUUUGAAUAAAAAAGUUUAUAUUUUUUUUAAAGCAGGAGAUUUGGUUUCCACAAAAUAUCGUAGUCAACUCGAUGCAUCUACC